rnacentral:sRNA from 1 species
AGCACGAGAGGCGAGGUGAUGACGGCAGC